GUCGAGCGAACAGAUGAGAAGCUUGCUUCUCUGAUGUUAGCGGCGGACGGGUGAGUAACACGUGGGUAACCUACCUAUAAGACUGGGAUAACUCCGGGAAACCGGGGCUAAUACCUGAUAAUAUUUUGAACCGCAUGGUUCGAUAGUGAAAGGCGGCUUCGGCUGUCACUUAUAGAUGGACCCGCGCCGUAUUAGCUAGUUGGUAAGGUAAUGGCUUACCAAGGCGACGAUACGUAGCCGACCUGAGAGGGUGAUCGGCCACACUGGAACUGAGACACGGUCCAGACUCCUACGGGAGGCAGCAGUAGGGAAUCUUCCGCAAUGGGCGAAAGCCUGACGGAGCAACGCCGCGUGAGUGAUGAAGGUUUUCGGAUCGUAAAACUCUGUUGUUAGGGAAGAACAAAUUUGUUAGUAACUGAACAAGUCUUGACGGUACCUAACCAGAAAGCCACGGCUAACUACGUGCCAGCAGCCGCGGUAAUACGUAGGUGGCAAGCGUUAUCCGGAAUUAUUGGGCGUAAAGCGCGCGUAGGCGGUUUCUUAAGUCUGAUGUGAAAGCCCACGGCUCAACCGUGGAGGGUCAUUGGAAACUGGGGAACUUGAGUGCAGAAGAGGAGAGUGGAAUUCCAUGUGUAGCGGUGAAAUGCGCAGAGAUAUGGAGGAACACCAGUGGCGAAGGCGGCUCUCUGGUCUGUAACUGACGCUGAUGUGCGAAAGCGU
rnacentral:rRNA from 1 species